rnacentral:rRNA from 1 species
UACGUAGGGGGCUAGCGUUGUCUGGAAUCAUUGGGCGUAAAGCGCGCGUAGGCGGCCAGAUAAGUCCGGUGUGAAAGCCACAGGCUCAACCUGUGAAUGCCGCUGGAAACUGUCUGGCUAGAGUCCGGGAGGGGCGAGUGGAAUUCCUGGUGUAGCGGUGAAAUGCGCAGAUAUCGGGAAGAACACCCGUGGCGAAGGCGGUUCUCUGGGACGGUACUGACGCUGAGACGCGAAAGCGUGGGGAGCAAACAGG